AUUGAACGCUGGCGGCAGGCCUAACACAUGCAAGUAGAACGAGUGGCGGAAGGGUGAGUAAGGUCUGGGAAAAUGCCUGAUGGAGGGGGAUAACAACUGGAAACGGUAGCUAAUACCGCAUACCAUCGGAUGUGCCCAGAUGUGAUUAGCGAGUAGGUGGGGUAAAGGCUAACCUAGGCGACGAUCCCUAGCUGGUCUGAGAGGAUGACCAGCCACACUGGAACUGAGACACGUUCCAGACUCCUACGGGAGGCAGCAGUGGGGAAUAUUGCACAAUGGGCGCAAGCCUGAUGCAGCCAUGCCGCGUGUAUGAAGAAGGCCUUCGGGUUGUAAAGUACUUUCAGCGGGGAGGCGUUACCCGCAGAAGAAGCACCGGCUAACUCCGUGCCAGCAGCCGCGGUAAUUC
rnacentral:rRNA from 1 species